CUUGCUGGGUGGAUUAGUGACGAACGUGUGAAUAACAUGUAAGUAACCUUCCCUUGACGUUCUGGGAUACGCCUAGGCAACCGGGUCUAAUACCGGAUACGACCGGUCACCGCAUGGUGGUUCGUGGACAGAUUUAUCGGUCUUGGAUGGACUCGCGGCCUAUCAGCUGGUUGGUGGGGUAAUGGCCUACCAAGGCGACGACGGGUAGCCGGCCUGAGAGGGUGACCGGCCUCACUGGGGCUGUAGACACCGCCCAGACUCCUACGGGAGGCAGCAGUGGGGAAUAUUGCACGCUGGGCGCAAGCCUGAUGCAGCGUCGCCGGCGUGAGGGAUGACGGCCUUCGGGUUGUAAACCUCUUUCAGUAGGGAAGAAGCGAAAGUGACGGUACCUGCAGAAGAAGCGCCGGUGCUAACUACGUGCCAGCAGCCGCGGUAAUACGUAGGGCGCGAGCGUUAUCCGGAAUGAUUGGGCGUAAAGAGCUCGUAGGCGGUUUGUCGGCGUCUGCCGUGCAAGUCCGGGGGUGCUUAACCCCGGUAUCUGCGGUGGGUACGGGCAGACUGGAGUGCAGUAGGGGAGACUGGAAUUCCAGGUGUAGCGGUGAAAUGCGUAGAUAUCAGGAGGAACACCGAUGGCGAAGGCAGGUCUCUGGGCUGUUACUGACGCUGAUGAGCGAAAGCAUGGGGAGCGAACAGGAAUUAGAUACCCUGGUAGUCCACGCCUAAAGCGUUGGGCAUUAUGUGUGUGAGCCAUUCCACGGGUUUCCGCGCCGCAGCUAACGCAUUAAGUGCGGCGCCUGGGGAGUACGGCCGCAAGGUUAAAACUGAAAGGAAUUGACGGCGGCCCGCAUAAGCGGCAGAGUAUACGGACUAAUUCGAUGCAACGCGAAGAACCUUACCA
rnacentral:rRNA from 1 species